rnacentral:rRNA from 1 species
UACAGGGGGGGCAAGCGUUGUUCGGAAUUACUGGGCGUAAAGGGCCAGUAGGCGGCCAACUAAGUCCGACGUGAAAUCCCCAGGCUUAACCUGGGAACUGCGUCGGAUACUGGAUGGCUUGAAUUCGGGAGAGGGAUGCAGAAUUCCAGGUGUAGCGGUGAAAUGCGUAGAUAUCUGGAGGAAUACCGGUGGCGAAGGCGCACAUCUGGCCCGAUACUGACGCUGAAGCGCGAAAGCUAGGGGAGCAAACGGG